CUCACUGCUUCCACCCGCGCCCUCUCGCCGGCAAAUCAAGGAAAUGGUACUCGGAUGCCCCACCCACUGAAAAAAUAGCGCGCUAUAGCGUCACUAAUAGCACGCUAUAGCGUAUUGAGAAUUGCCUCGCUAAAUAUAUUAGUGUACAACGUCUCGCUAAUAGCACGCUAUAGCGCGAUAUAGCACGCUAAUAGCAUGUUUUGAGGUCGGCGCUAUUUUGUUGUAGCACGCUAUUUUUUUCAUUGGUUAUAUAUGCUAUAACUGACACCCAAGAUUCUGUGUGCCCAUUAUUUGUGUUUGCUCUGUUUGGUUUGCAAUUUCAUUGCAUACUCUUUCCUGAAUUUACUGCUUGAUGAAUCUUACUGCAGAUAGACUGGGAUGAAUCUGCGCCCCUGUCGUUAAGAAAUAGACAUUUCAAUGAUUGGCAACUCGAUCUUGUUGGGUACCCUCCUAUUCUGAAGCAGCUUUAGAUUGGCACAUUUGCACAUCUGUGCUCUGGAGAUGUUGGCAUGGCUGCCCGUUGCUCGGAGCAGAUUGUUUCCGCUACUGCCGGCGCAGGAGCGGCUCUCCCUGCGCCUCCAGUGGCUGCUUCUUCUCGCACUACAGCAUAGCUGGACAUGUAAGCUUUUGGACUUUGACCAGCUCAUACUAUAGAGGGGCGCAAGUGGUCGUUAUGGGUAAUUAUGUUCAUCCACCAUUCUUCAGAUGCUCCUUUGUUUGGUACAGAUAAGUAAGUGAUGUUUUAUCGAAUCACCAUAGUCGAACCAACCUUUUUAUGGCUGGACGGCCCCUUCAUUGAUGCUCUUAACUGCAACUCAAGUGGUUGUGAUGCUACUCUGUAAGUGCUUGUGUGUAGAGUAAAGCAAUCUUGCUUUAAUCCUUUUGUCACGUGCUCGUGCUUGUGUUUGUGGUACCAUUCAGUUUCAGCCAGUCAAUGUGUUAGCUGCUGGAAUUCUACUGCUCCAUGUUUUCCUUCCCUUCCCUGCGUGCCUUUUGUUGCUAGUUUCUCGACUAGUAUUUCACACUACAUCUUCUUGCUGUAAUUGUAACUGCAUUCUUCCUCCUGUUGACCGAAGUGAUCCUUAAAAAUAUGAGAUUUUAUGGUUUCAAAAGGGCUACAUCAUUGUUCAUCAUCCUUAUGUGCACCAUCUCAUGCUAUCACAAUGGUCAACCAUUCAUCUCGUAUGUAUCAAUGUAUGUAUGUGUGCAAAAAAAACAUUCAUGCUGCUUAUUUCUUUUACAGUUUUGACAUUAUGUUGUACCUUGGUUCAUUAUAACUGAAUCUCAAUACCUUUUUGAUGUUGUGCACCCGUCCCGUGUUAUCUCUUCAGAAUUUGAUGGCUAAUUUGAUGACGUUGUUCUGCUUAUGUGACAAUCUCUUAUCAUGGAUGCUUCUACUUGACAAUUUGCAUUUAACUAAAAAACAUUUUAUUUCAGACAAAAGAACAGAAGUUUUCUAGUCUGGGUCUGUCUUAACUUCGUGAAUGAAGGACGCUCUGCUAUUUACUGUUGCUGAUAAUUAUUCUUCUCUGAAUGAAAGGAAUCCCUUUUGCACCGGUAGACACAUCCUAUCUAUUCAUGGUUUUCCUUGCUGAUGCAACACAAGUCAUGAAUUGACCAAUUUAAAAGAUAUGUGUUAUUAUGCUCUUGUCAUGAUAAAGGACAGAUUUUUGAUUUAAUCUCGCCUGAGAACACAUCAAUUGUUCUCACUAUAAGUAGUGUAGUUGUUAUCUUUUCAGAAUUUGAUGGCGUUGUUCUGCUUAUGUGACAAUCUCUAUUGUGGAUGCUUCUACUUGUCAAUUUGCAUUUAACUGAAAAAAUGUAUUAGUUCAGACAAAAGAAUUGAAAUUUUCUAGUCUGGGUCUGUCUUAACUUCAUGAAUGAUGGACGCCCUGAUAUUUACUGUAUAACCGUGGCUGAUAAUUAUUCUUCUCUGAAUGAAUGGAAUCCCUUUUGCACUGCUGGACACAUCCAUACCUAUUCAUGGUUUUACUUGCUGAUGCAACUCAAGUCAUGAGUUGACUGAUUUGCGACAUGUGUUAUUAUGCUCCUGUCAUGAUAAAGAAUGGAUUUUUGAUUUAAUCUCACCUGGAAACACAUAAAUUAUUCUCACUUUUGUCCUCGCAUGUGACUUUUGAUUGUACUGGCUUUAAACACUUUGAUCAUGUAUUUCUCUAAUGAAUCAAGAGAAUUUGCCAAUUUCCAGUGUAAAAAAGGUCGAUGCGCUGCCCUUGAUAAUUAUUACUGUCUGAUAAUCGAAAAAUAUUGCUUCUUCAAUUUAUCAAACCUUGCUGCCUUGCUCUAGCACACGAUUAUUGCACAUUGCUAGCUUAUCCCACACUGUGCAUUGAAGCUGCAAACUAUGCAUGAGCAGACUAGACUGAUAUUUCCCACACCGUUCGAAUAAUAGUCGAUGUCUCCUGGUAUAGGAAGAGAGGAUGACUCACUAAAGCACACAAGUAGGUUAGAAAGCGUCCAAAUACAAAGAAAAUAGGCAGAGCUAUGAAGCUUUUCUUUUUCGCGAUUACCUUCAGCUAGUGUAUUUGUUCUCUUAUACACCUACAUUCUUGUCACGAUUGGUAAUUAAAAGUGUGACAUUUUUGUUUAACUGAAUAGUUUGCAAAGGAGUUGGAUAUGCGGGGGCAUGGGGUCCCGGUGACAGUGGCCAACACCACCUACAUGGGCAUGAACGCCGUCUACUGCGCCGGCGGCGUUUACAACCUGCCGAUCUUUUCCAGUAGCUCAUGGCGGAGGAGCCAUAGCUGCCGGUUGGGUUGGUUCCAGUCCUAGCAAGCGAACACAGCGCCGGAUCCACCUUGGCCACAACCACACACCUUAUUGAAUAUAUAUGUAUCUACACAAUGAUGAUACACGCACAGGUGCACGGCUGAUGGUAAGCCGGCUCCACUUCAGCCCCUCCGGUUGCCCCUAUUCCUCUUCCACUCCGGCACGGCUGAUGGUGGAGAAGAGAUAGUGUGCGUGGGGAGAAGGCGGCCAAUAGCACCAGCGAGUCCGUCAGCCUAUCCGCGUGAGAUCUACUUGUUGAGCGCACUAGCUGAUUUCUUUGUUUGAUAAGAAGUCAGGAGGUUUGAGUUUAAGUUUCCUCACCCAGGUGCACAAACGGGUGGUGUGCGUGGGGGAGAAGGCGCCUGACAUUACCAGUGAGUCCAUCGGCCUGUGUUGGUGCUCACUCGACGCCUUCGGUGGCCUCAUCUUGUUUGUUUGAACCUCAACCCAUGCGUCAAGUUAUUUUUUGCUAGGCCGCACCGGAGUUGGGAGCCAGCGCAAAAUCAUGCCUGCUCUCCCUCGAGCCCCUGCCUCCCGUGACGCCUCCGGUGGAUGAUUCUUCUCUGACUACGGCCUAGGUGAGCCACUCGAUUCCUUUCCUAUGCAUGCUUACUCUCCUGCUGUGUGUCCACAACCAUCGAGCUGUGGUAAUUGUAUGCUAGCCAUCGUGCCAUGGAAAUAUCUUGUGUUCGGUUCGGGGCUGUGGUGAUGGUGUCUGCUGUAAUCUCCAUUUUUGUUUCUGUGGAUGAUUUUGGUCUCUUGUAACUUUGUGUUGGUCCCUUUUUUAUCCAUGCAUGCUACAGGGUUUGGUAACGGUACAUGUUAUAUAGCUUUGGAUGGAUCCUUGAUACUUUGCUGGGAGGAAUUUUGACUUGUUAAUAAUGGCCAUCCCUCUCGACUGUGAGGAGUUUUUCAAGUUAUUGCCCAUCUAUUGUAGCCUAGUUUCUAAACUGUUUGAUGCAGAAAAUUAUCACCUUUGGCAAAGCAAGUGUCACCUUUGACAAUUAUAUUCUAUCGAAGAACCAAUUCUGCUUUCUAAAUUGGGUCUAUGGUGUUUGGGGGUGUCUAUUUGUUGCUUCCGUUGUCGACGUUAUCUGUUCGUGCAGUUUUGUGUCUCCUCUUGCUCAGAGGAAUCAAAUCAACCAAGAUGAAUACUAAACCAUCAUCAAGCUGUUGGUCUGGGAAUGAAACUGAAUUAAUUCCCACUUAAUUUUUGCCUAUGUUACAUUCCUAACCUUCCUGACCAGUAGAUCAAAUGGAGGGUUUUAUUAAUACUAGCAAAAGGUCUCGUUUGGAACGUUUUUCUUUUUGUAAUACGAUGAACCUUCCAUCGAUGCUAACUAAUCAUUUGCAUGAUUGC